ACUUCCCCUAGCCGGAACGAAAAGUAGGUUUGGUAUCCCAGGUACUGAAAUGCUUUUGGCUUUGUGGUGGUGAUGUUGUGUUUGCAAAUGGUCUGGUAUGCCAGACAUAGUAGCUAAGCUACUGCUUUUUUUCACUUCCUGU
rnacentral:sRNA from 1 species